rnacentral:rRNA from 1 species
AGUGAACGCUGGCGGUAGGCCUAACACAUGCAAGUCGAACGGCAGCACAGUAAGAGCUUGCUCUUACGGGUGGCGAGUGGCGGACGGGUGAGGAAUACAUCGGAAUCUACUUUUUCGUGGGGGAUAACGUAGGGAAACUUACGCUAAUACCGCAUACGACCUACGGGUGAAAGCAGGGGAUCUUCGGACCUUGCGCGAUUGAAUGAGCCGAUGUCGGAUUAGCUAGUUGGCGGGGUAAAGGCCCACCAAGGCGACGAUCCGUAGCUGGUCUGAGAGGAUGAUCAGCGACACUGGAACUGAGACACGGUCCAGACUCCUACGGGAGGCAGCAGUGGGGAAUAUUGGACAAUGGGCGCAAGCCUGAUCCAGCCAUACCGCGUGGGUGGAGAAGGCCUUCGGGUUGUAAAGCCCUUUUGUUGGGAAAGAAAAGCAGCAGGUUAAUACCCCGCUGUUCUGACGGUACCCAAAGAAGAAGCACCGGCUAACUUCGUG